GCUAAUGGGAGCAUUGAAAAAUGGUGAAAUACUUAACUAACAGUAUAUGGCUCUCUUUGCUUCUUCUGUGUUACCUCUUUCUCUGUUAAAGUCAAACUCAGAUCCCUAUCGUCUCUUCUCCACCAAGAAAGGGUUCAAUUUGGGAUUCCAGAAGCUUAAAACCAGAAGAUUACACAGGACUAAAGUGGUUGUACAUUUUGCAAUGUUUUCAGAAAAUCUGCUAAUCGGAGAUUUAAUCGCCACUACAUUAUCCGGUGGUAUUGCCCUUUCCAUACUUCGAUUUUGGGAAGAAACAGCCAAGAGAGGGGUUUUCGAUCAGAAAACGAACAGAAAGCUUGUUCAUAUUAGCAUUGGGCUAGUCUUCAUGCUCUGCUGGCCAAUGUUCAGUUCUGGUCAACAAGGAGCCAUUCUAGCAGCUUUUAUCCCUGGUCUUAACAUAAUAAAAAUGUUUCUUUUGGGAUUAGGAAUAUGGAAAGAUGAUGCAACUGUCAAGUCUAUGAGCCGAUUUGGAGACCACAGGGAGCUUCUCAAGGGACCAUUGUACUAUGCCCUUUCAAUCACUUGUGCUUGUGCUAUAUAUUGGAGAUAUUCACCUAUUUCAAUUGGACUAAUUUGCAACCUUUGUGCUGGUGAUGGUAUUGCUGACAUUGUUGGCCGGAGGUUCGGAAAACAGAAACUCCCAUAUAAUAAAAACAAAUCAUUUGCUGGUAGUAUUGCAAUGGCAGCUGCCGGUCUUUUAGCAUCCAUUGGAUUCUUGCACUAUUUCUCCUUGUUCGGGUAUAUUCAGGUGAACUCCAAGACGGUCUUAGGGUUCUUGUUUAUGUCUCUUGCUGCAGCGCUGGUUGAAUCCCAUCCUCUAAGCAGUGAACUCGAUGAUAACUUAACAGUUCCCUUAACCUCAGUGCUGGUUGGCAGUCUUGUUUUAUGAUACCAG
rnacentral:misc_RNA from 1 species